UCAGUCGACUCCUACGGGGAGGCAGCAGUGGGGAAUAUUGCACAAUGGGGGAAACCCUGAUGCAGCCAUGCCGCGUGUGUGAAGAAGGCCUUCGGGUUGUAAAGCACUUUCAGUAGGGAGGAAGGUAGUGUAGUUAACACCUGCACUAUUUGACGUUACCUACAGAAGAAGCACCGGCUAACUCCGUGCCAGCAGCCGCGGUAAUACGGAGGGUGCGAGCGUUAAUCGGAAUUACUGGGCGUAAAGCGCAUGCAGGCGGCCUGUUAAGUCAGAUGUGAAAGCCCGGGGCUUAACCUCGGAAUUGCAUUUGAAACUGGCAGGCUAGAGUCUUGUAGAGGGGGGGUAGGAAUUUCAGGUGUAGCGGUGAAAUGCGUAGAGAUCUGAAGGAAUACCAGUGGCGAAGGCGGCCCCCUGGACAAAGACUGACGCUCAGAUGCGAAAGCGUGGGGAGCAAACAGGAUUAGAUACCCUGGUAG
rnacentral:rRNA from 1 species